CAUUAGUAUAUGUGAUAUUAAUAUUAUAUUGUAACUAUUCCUAUCACAUAGUUCUUUCAAAAAAAUAGUUUUAAAAAAGCAUAUUUUCAAAGUACUUGUAAAUUUAAAACUGUAUUCCUUGUUACUAAAAUAUGGUUAUAUGGGAUUUGUUUUUGUAAAAUUUUAUAUUUUGUGAUACAUAAAGUAUUCAAUUUAUGUUCUAUGUUAAUAUCUUAAAUUUAAAAUAUAUUUUAUAUUAUAAUUUAUUAUUUAUAUGCAAGGUACUACCAAAGUGAAAGUUUAUUUAGCAAAC